rnacentral:rRNA from 1 species
CCUACGGGAGGCUGCAGUAGGGAAUAUUGCUCAAUGGGGGAAACCCUGAAGCAGCAAUGCCGCGUGGAGGAUGAAGGUUUUCGGAUUGUAAACUCCUUUUGUUAGAGAAGAUAAUGACGGUAUCUAACGAAUAAGCACCGGCUAACUCCGUGCCAGCAGCCGCGGUAAUACGGAGGGUGCAAGGGUUACUCGGAAUCACUGGGCGUAAAGAGCGCGUAGGCGGGAUAGCAAGUCAGAUGUGAAAUCCUAUGGCUUAACCAUGGAACUGCAUUUUAAACUGUUAUUCUAGAGUAUGGGAGAGGUAGGUGGAAUUCUUGGUGUAGGGGUAAAAUCCGUAGAGAUCAAAAAGAAUACUCAUUGCGAAGGCGACCUGCUAGAACAUAACUGACGCUGAUGCGCGAAAGCGUGGGUAGCAAACAGGAUUAGAUACCCCAGUAGUC